UACGUAGGGUGCGAGCGUUAAUCGGAAUUACUGGGCGUAAAGCGUGCGCAGGCGGUUCGCCAAGUCAGGUGUGAAAUCCCCGGGCUUAACCUGGGAAUUGCGCUUGAAACUAGCGGGCUUGAGUGUGGCAGAGGGGGGUGGAAUUCCACGUGUAGCAGUGAAAUGCGUAGAGAUGUGGAGGAACACCGAUGGCGAAGGCAGCCUCCUGGGCCAAUACUGACGCUCAUGCACGAAAGCGUGGGGAGCAAACAGG
rnacentral:rRNA from 1 species